GUCGAUUCCUGUCCCUCGAGGUGGUUCCCUGGGGGCACGAUGAUGGCGGAUCUGAGUUGAC
ensembl:miRNA